rnacentral:rRNA from 1 species
GAUGAACGCUGGCGGCGUGCUUAACACAUGCAAGUCGAACGGAAAGGCCCAAGUUUGCUUGGGUCCUCGAGUGGCGAAAGGGUGAGUAACACGUGGGCGAUCUGCCCUGCAUUUCGGGAUAAGCCUGGGAAACUGGGACUAAUACCGGAUAGGACCACAUUUUGGAUGGUGUGGUGGAAAGUUUUUCGGUGUGGGAUGAGCUCGCGGCCUAUCAGCUUGUUGGUGGGGUAAUGGCCUACCAAGGCGUCGACGGGUAGCCGGCCUGAGAGGGUGUACGGCCAAAUUUGGGCUGGGGAACGGCCCAAGCUUCUACGGGGGGGAACAGGGGGGAAAUAUGCACAAAGGGCGCGAGGCUUGAGCAACGAAGCCGGGGGGGGGGUGACGGGCUUCGGGUUGGAAACUCGUUUCGCUAGGGACGAAACGUUAUGUGACGGUACCUGGAGAAGAAGCACCGGCUAACUACGUG